ensembl:rRNA 5S_rRNA 5S ribosomal RNA
GUCUACGGCCAUACCACCCUGAACGCACCCGAUCUCGUCUGAUCUCGGAAGCUAAGCAGGGUCGGGCCUGGUUAGUACUUGGAUGGGAGAUAAGUAUGCAAGGAAGAUUCUCUGUAAGUG